GGGGGUGAAUUUUGGUUUCGACGGGGUUAUAGAGUCAUGGAACUGCGCACCGUGUUCCCCGAAUACACGUUAACGAAUUGGGAACAAAAAUGUAACUGGCGAAUAUAAUUACGCCCUAGCUGCUUAAUAAACUGAGUGGCCGUUCAUUGAAUUUUCGCGUACCGGGGUUCAAAUGAACGACGUUAAGGUACGAUAGCUGAUUCUGCCGCCCUUGCAGAUGAUGCAAAAUAAUCAAUGGGCAGGCUUAAAGCGAUCCUUGUUUGUCUGGUAGCUUUAAGUCAAAAACAAAAACAAACUAUGUGUGUAGACGUUCUUUGGUGCUAAACUUCGGACGCGGGUUCGACUCCCGCCACCUCCACCA
rnacentral:tmRNA from 1 species